UAAUAAUGGAACAUUUACUUAAAUCCAGAAUAGUAGUUUCCAGUGAACAGUUAUAUUUAAUUGUACUAUUCUAAAGAACUAACUGAAAGGUAGUGAACUUCAUCUUAUUAUUAUAUACCACUGUGUUAGUCUCUUUGGACUGCUCUAUCGAAAUAUUAUAGACUAGGUAAUUUAUAAACAACAGAAAUUAAAUUUUUUACAGUUUUGGAGGCUGGGAUGUCCAAGAUCACUGUGCUGGCAGAUUUGAAGUUUGAUGAGAGCCCACUUAUCCAUUCAUAGGUGCUUUUUUUCUGUGUUGUCACAUGGUGGAAGGGCCCACUUUUUUGUAAAUUCAUGAAUCCUAUUAAUUAAGGCUCAACCCUUAUGAUCUAGUCACCUCAGAGAGGCUCCCCACUUCUAAUUCUAUUAUCUUGAGGUUUAGAAUUUCAAAAUGUGAAUUUGGGGUAGGGGACAGAAACAUUAAGACAUAACAACUACAUUUCAGGAUUUUGCUCUCAUUUGUUGAUAUUUUAAAAUACUUCAUAGUAGUUACCUUCUUUUGGGUUUCAAGUACUAGUACUAUGCUACUUUAUAUGAUUACUCUUCACAACCACUAUAUAAUGUAUUGUUUUUGUCCCAUAUAAAGAAAUUGAGGCCCAAAGAGGUUAAUAGCAAACAAGUGCCAAAGUCAAGAUUCUAACUCAAAUCUAUUAAGAUUCCCAAAUCUUUUUUUUCUAACUAUUUUGAUUGCAUGUAUACUUCAUAGAUGGUACUAAUCCACAUAGGUUUGAACCAAGCAACAAUUUCCAAUAGAUAUUAUUUGCCUCUAACACACUUAGGGAUAGGUACUCUUAGACAUCAAAGGUUGAAGUUAAUAUUAGCAAAAGUAGAAAAUUGUUUUUGCUAGGAGGAUAAUAUAUUUCAGGGGAAGCUUCAACUCUAAGUAGACACAUUAAUAAUCUUUCUAAGAACUUGGUUAAAUUAUCAAAGAGGGAAGCUGUCUUCAGGAUAGUGUUUUUAAUGUUGAUCUUAAUCCUGUACAAUUAUGAACAUAAUUCACUUUUAUUGUAGAAUUGCAUUCUUUUUAUGUUUUGCUAUUCUGCAAACAUAGUAUUUUAUAUUGUGACAUUUAGAUGUAAAUUUCAUUUCAAUUUUGUCUAGCAGAUUUUUUUGUUGUUGUUUUUGGUACCAGGGAUUGAACCCAGGGGUGCUUCAUCACUGAACCAUGUUCCCAGGCCCUUUUAUUUUUUUUAUUUUGAGACAAGGUCUCACUAAGUUGCUCAGGGCCUAACUAAUUUGCUGAGGUUGGCUUUGAAUGUGAUCCUCCUGCUUCAGCCUUCUGAGCCACUGGGUUUACAAACAUGUACCACUGAGCCAGGCUGUUCAACAGUUUAAUAAAAAUUUUAAUGAGUUCAUGAUCUCUCUGUUCCUUAACACUUGUUAUGUUCAUUCAGCUCAGUUAACAUUUGAACACCUACUGUGUACCAGGCAUGGUGAGAGACCUACAGAAAAAUUGUACUGAAAGAACAAAUCCUGGCUAGUGAUAAGUGAUAUGGGAACAAUAAUUGAAACAACAACAACAACAACAACAACAACAAAACAAAGUUAUAUUUGAAUGAUGGGAAGGAAUCAGAAAAUUCUAUAAAUAGUAGGUGAAAUUUAAACAGGAUCUUGAAUGAUGUAUGGUGAUAUAAUGAUUAUGUAAGCAAAUCUUUUCUUAAGGGAAAGACAGUUUGAAUUGUGGGAAACAACAUCAACAAAGAUAGGCAUUAGGAAAAUAUGUGACAUAUUUAAUAAAUGGUAGAUAUUACAGUGACAUUGGGUUUACAUGUGGGAUUAGUGUUUAUAUUGUGGUCUGGAAAGAAACACUGGGGCCAAGUGUUAAGUUUCUUGACUUAUAUGCUAAGAAAUUUUGAAGUCUCUAGGUAAUAAUGAUUAUAGCAUAGGAUUUCAGCAAAUGUGAAAUGUGA
rnacentral:lncRNA from 1 species